AAUUCUGUUCCACCUAGGAUUUAGGUGAUUUUACUCUGAGAAAAUGCUUAGCCCUUCAGCACUCCAGAAAGACUUGAGAACUUUUCUUCCCUGGACUAAGGCUGGAAUAUUUGGCGACUGGAGAAUUAAG
ensembl:misc_RNA